GCAGUCACCCACAACCUGCUUCUUAAUAAGAGUGACGUUGCCGUAAGUAGAGCUAAUGCACCUUCUAGCUGAAUGCAGCUUGCUUAAUUUGUAGUGGAUUUUGAUUUCUUUCAGGCCAAAGACCACAAGAGCUUUGUCAUUGACUUCAAUGGGUGAGGGAUGCGAUCCUUGGUCCGUAAGGCAUAUCCUAUUGAAACUAAUUAUUGCCAAAACUGGGGCCAGUUGUUCCUGUUGGGCAGCUGGGCAGCUUUUCUGACUGAUGGAAGCAGAUUUUUUUGCCUUGCAGGUGUGUUACUAAACUGCAUCCCUCAUUCAGUAUAGAACAGGGGGUUAUCGCGGACAAAAAUCUCUCCACCUCAGCUGGAGAAACUCUGCUAGCAAAAUGGAAUUGAUGCCAGUAGGGUUUUACUGGAGCAUCCAAGCCCUGAUGCUGUGAGACAUCCAGCGAGGUCCUGGGUGGGCAGUCUUUUCAUGAUCCUGUGGGGUCCCAGCUUCAUCAUCCAGAAACUGGUGCUAGGGCCAUUGACUGUAAUGGCCCUAGCAUUGAAUAAUUUACAUCCACUGAGGAUCUGUCCCAUAGAUCUCACGUCAGCCUGCCUGGGACUUGGGGUUCAGUGUGGUUCCCGAAAAGAAGGAAUAUUCACCUAAGAGGAAUCUUGAUGCCCUCUGCUGGGCAGCUGUGGCAUCAGAGUGGCAAAAGCCCCUGAAAUGUUCGAGCGUAUGGCUGGCCGCCCAGAGUCAGCAGCAGUCUAUGGCUUCUGGCAGAAAAGUUAGCAGGAUUGAGGUCAUAAAAAGGUAGGGGAAUGGAAAUGUGAGCUGGCAAAGCCCUCCUUUGCUAGAUGCAGAGUGGAUAAGAGUGUGCAUUCAGAUGGCCUAAGAUUUCAGCUUUCUCUCUUGCAGACGCUCGGCUUUCCUGACAGUGCUUUGUUGACAUGUCUGAGCAUGUGGAUGGCUGGAGACACCCACGCACGUUUGCUCGUUCUGCGGUAUCUCAGCUCCACACUCCUGUGCGUUUGAAAGGGUGGACCGCUCCAGGAAAUGCCGGGGGCAUCGUCUCCCGGGUCCCCGCUGUGGACACUGCUGGAUGAGCAGAAUGCAGGUCUGUGUUUAAUCUUCCAGCCCCUUCUCCAGUGAGGGAAGAGGAGCUUCAGCCUUUGCAAGUCUUGGCGCCUCUGCUGGGAAAGCUGCCUGUCAGGGCCACUUGUGCUGGUCACCUUCAUGAACAGGAAGGGACCAGCAAGAAAUAAUUUAGGGCCACUAAAUUCAUCUCACCCAUUUCAUUCAACUGGAACCAGCCUCAGCUGAGCUCCUUGCUGGGCUGAGCUGGAUUCGGAUGAGGUAUUGCAAGGGCCGAGGUUCUGCAAAACAGUUGCGGCCGGUGUCCAUAGGUAGGGAAAUAGCCUUAACUGAAAGGGGAAGGGUUUGUUUUUGUCCGCAGGAGCAAGCAAGAGCUGGACGCCGGCUGUUGCUGCUUGCCAGCACGGGCAGGGGUCAGCACACAUGGGGCAGGAUGGAUGUCUGCAAGGAGUGGCGGUCCCCAGGGAGAUCUGGUAGUGGCAGAAGGGACACGUGCCAAGCUGUGCCUUCAGGAGCUGUUGUGAGAUCCAGCAUCGACAGUGAUGACUGGCACUUUCUCUCACCUUCCCUUCCUGCAUCGUGUGGAUUGAUCUGUUCUCCAAGGAUUAUUUUGGGCAAUUCUGCUGUGCUCCACUCUGCUCUGCAAAGGCUCCCCGGGGAUCGUGGCAGGACAACAGAGAUGGUGAAGAGACUGCUGAUUAUGAAUAGACAACCGCCUAUAAUAAUGACACAGAAAAACUCGUUUAGAGGGAGGAGUUAAACAUCCCCCUGCAAUACCGUGCAAUCAGACAGCACUGUGCAUUAGCACGAAGAUCAGAAGCUGACUGGGAGAGCAAGUGAAACUCCAGGACCGCUUUUCUUUCAGGAUGCAAAAGGAAAGCAAAGCAUGACUAGCAAAAGGUAAGAUGUGCACUCACGCUAAGGAUUUGUGAGAAGUCUGUAGUAUGAAGAGUAUUAGUGCAAAGCAAAAUCACUCCAGUACGUAACAGCAAAACCAAAGCCUGCAAUCCUCCGUCCUCAGAGAACACCAGGUGUGCGUGUGUGUGAUGCACAGGAGCGUGGUCCAGUGGACUGGGAUUGUGGAGAUCUGGGUGCCACACCCAGCUCUGCUCCUCAGCUGCCUUCGGCAAGUCCCUCCAACUCUGUGCCUCAGUUUCCCCUCCCCUCUGGUUUGGCCGUCUCUGGUACAUAUGCAGAAUGCACAGCACAAAGGGAGCCCAGUUUUGCCUGAGGCUCUUGCCCACUACUGUAAUACAGAUAACAGACCCCGGUCCUAACAAAUGCGUUUAGGCUCAGGG